GGCUACGUAGCUCAACCGGUAGAGCGCUUGCCGCGUAGAGGCGUGGUGUUUCUGUCGCUGGUUCGAAUCCAGCCGAAGCCC
rnacentral:tRNA from 1 species